GCCGAAAUAGCUCAGUCGGGAGAGCAUUAGACUGCAGAUUUAAAGGUCCGUGGUUUGAUCCCGGGUUUCGGCA